UACAGAGGUCUCAAGCGUUGUUCGGAUUCAUUGGGCGUAAAGGGUGCGUAGGUGGCGCGCUAAGUCAGGUGUGAAAUUUCGGAGCUUAACUCCGAAACUGCAUUUGAUACUGGCGUGCUUGAGGACUGGAGAGGAGACUGGAAUUCACGGUGUAGCAGUGAAAUGCGCAGAUAUCAGGAGGAACACCGAUGGCGAAGGCAGAUCUCUGGGCCGUAACUGACGCUGAGGAGCGAAAGCGUGGGGAGCGAACAGG
rnacentral:rRNA from 1 species